GUGACCGUGGAGGCGCGACCGUGGCAGUGGUGGCGGAGGGGGAGAGCGUCACAGAGAGAGGUCGAGCCGUGAGAAGGAGGAGAGACACAGAGAGAGAAGACACAGAGAGAAAGAGGAGGGGAGACACAAGUCAUCACGCAGUAGCAGCAGGAGGAGACAUGAUAGUGAAGAAGGAGACGGUCACAGGAGACACAAACACAAGAAGAGCAAGAGAAGCAAGGAGGGCAAAGAACCUGGUGAUGACCUGGGAGGAGACCAGGAGAACCAGGACACCAUGGAGUGAUGGAGAGAACACCCUCCUCCCCUCUGUCUCUCUUCAUCUCUCUAUCUCUGUCUACCUGGGAGGAGACCAGGAGAACCAGGACACCAUGGAGUGAUGGAGUGAUGGAGAGAACACCCUCCUCCCCUCUGUCUCUCUUCAUCUCUCUAUCUCUGUCUACCUGGGAGGAGGCCAGGAGAACCAGGACACCAUGGAGUGAUGGAGAGAACACCCUCCUCCCCUCUGUCUCUCUUCAUCUCUCUCUCUCUCCCUCUAUACAUCUCUUCCUCUCUCCAUCCCUCCCUCAGAGCACUGCUGUAGUUGAUCAUGCUCAGAGAUUGUUGUUGUUUACCUGUUCCCUUCGUAGUCAUGACGAUCAUAAACGACCCUCAUCUUCUUCUGUCAUUUAUUUUCGUCCAUCUUGUUUCUUUACUAAACACCUCGCUGAAAGAUGUCAAAUUGUUGAAUAAAAAAACAAGCUUUUGAUAA